rnacentral:rRNA from 1 species
UGGGGAAUAUUGCACAAUGGGCGCAAGCCUGAUGCAGCCAUGCCGCGUGUAUGAAGAAGGCCUUCGGGUUGUAAAGUACUUUCAGCGGGGAGGAAGGUGUUGAGGCUAAUAACCUCAGCAAUUGACGUUACCCGCAGAAGAAGCACCGGCUAACUCCGUUCCAGCAGCCGCGGUAAUACGGAGGGUGCAAGCGUUAAUCGGAAUUACUGGGCGUAAAGCGCACGCAGGCGGUCUGUCAAGUCGGAUGUGAAAUCCCCGGGCUCAACCUGGGAACUGCAUUCGAAACUGGCAGGCUAGAGUCUUGUAGAGGGGGGUAGAAUUCCAGGUGUAGCGGUGAAAUGCGUAGAGAUCUGGAGGAAUACCGGUGGCGAAGGCGGCCCCCUGGACAAAGACUGACGCUCAGGUGCGAAAGCGUGGGGAGCAAACA